AAUAGAUACCCUGGUAGUCCAUGCCGUAAACGUUGGGCACUAGGUGUGGGGCGGGUUCCACUCGUUCUGUGCCGUAGCUAACGCAUUAAGUGCCCCGCCUGGGGAGUACGGCCGCAAGGCUAAAACUCAAAGGAAUUGACGGGGGCCCGCACAAGCGGCGGAGCAUGCGGAUUAAUUCGAUGCAACGCGAAGAACCUUACCAAGGCUUGACAUGUACGAGAAAGCCCCAGAGAUGGGGUUCUCUUUGGACACUCGUACACAGGUGGUGCAUGGUUGUCGUCAGCUCGUGUCGUGAGAUGUUGGGUUAAGUCCCGCAACGAGCGCAACCCUUAUCCUAUGUUGCCAGCGGGUUAUGCCGGGGACUCAUGGGAGACUGCCGGGGUCAACUCGGAGGAAGUGGGGAUGACGUCAAAUCAUCAUGCCCCUUAUGUCUUGGGCUUCACGCAUGCUCAAUGGCCGGUACAGAGGGCUGCGAUACCGUGAGGUGAGCGAAUCCCAAAAAGCCGGUCUCAGUUCGGAUCGGGGU
rnacentral:rRNA from 1 species